rnacentral:rRNA from 1 species
UCGAGCGAACCGAAGGGAGCUUGCUCCUUUAGGGUUAGCGGCGGACGGGUGAGUAACACGUGGGCAACCUGCCCUGCAGACUGGGAUAACUUCGGGAAACCGGAGCUAAUACCGGAUAACACCGAAAACCGCAUGGUUUUCGGUUGAAAGGCGGCUUUUAGCUGUCACUGCAGGAUGGGCCCGCGGCGCAUUAGCUAGUUGGUGAGGUAACGGCUCACCAAGGCGACGAUGCGUAGCCGACCUGAGAGGGUGACCGGCCACACUGGGACUGAGACACGGCCCAGACUCC